rnacentral:ncRNA from 1 species
CUCUUAUAAAGAGCGGCGGAGGGAAGUGCCCUAUGAAGCCCGGCAACCAUCACAAUCGUGAAAAGGUGCCAAAUCACCCAAAGAUUUAUCUUUGAAAGAUGAGAG